UACGGGGGGAGCAAGCGUUGUUCGGAUUUACUGGGCGUAAAGGGCGCGUAGGCGGCCUCUGCAAGUCGACUGUGAAAUCCCCCGGCUCAACUGGGGAGGGUCACGCGAUACUGGUCGACUCGAAGGCAGGAGAGGGUAGUGGAAUUCCCGGUGUAGUGGUGAAAUGCGCAGAUAUCAGGAGGAACACCGGUGGCGAAGGCGGGUCUCUGGGCAGUAACUGACGCUGAGGAGCGAAAGCGUGGGGAGCGAACAGG
rnacentral:rRNA from 1 species